rfam:Nematostella vectensis strain CH2 x CH6 NEMVEscaffold_161_Cont16368, whole genome shotgun sequence.
GGGGAUGUAGCUCAGUAGUAGAGCGUCCGCUUUGCAUGCGGAAGGUCCGGGGUUCGAUCCCACGCAUCUCCA